rnacentral:misc_RNA from 1 species
GAUGAAGAACGCAGCGAAAUGCGAUAAGUAGUGUGAAUUGCAGAUUUCAGUGAAUCAUCGAAUCUUUGAACGCACAUUGCGCCCGCUAGUAUUCUGGCGGGCAUGCCUGUCCGAGCGUCAUUUCAACCCUCAAGCCCCCGGGCUUGGUGUUGGGGAUCGGCGAGCCUCCGCGCCCGCCGUCCCCUAAAUCUAGUGGCGGUCUCGCUGUAGCUUCCUCUGCGUAGUAGCACACCUCGCACUGGGAAACAGCGCGGCCACGCCGUUAAACCCCCAACUUCUGAACGUUUGACCUCGGAUCAGGUAGGAAUACCCGCUGAACUUAAGCAUAUCAAUAAGCGGAGGA